ACACACUUCACAGCACUCUCCAUAGCACACGCAAUUUACAUUUUUUUAACUCAUCUACUCUUCAUGGUAACUUUGAGAUUGGCAUGAUGAUUAACCCAGCCAGAGAUGAGGUCACAAAGCUAGUAUGGAUGGAGCUAGGAUGCAGACCAGAAGCAUGAUUCCAGAUGCUUAACCAGUAUGUUCCUGCUUACUUACUGCUAAUAAUGCAUUUUCCAGUUUGCAUUUCUAAUUUUUAAUUAAAUUUAAGAAUUUUUAUUACAGUAUCAUUUUAUAUGGGAUUUUAAAGUUUCUGCAUGGAGAAACUACGUGUUGUUUAUUAAUGCAACACAUGGAACAUAAUAGAUUCUCAAAUAUUUGUUGAAGAUAUGAGAAUAAACCCAUUAAUAAUCUGUUGAUCGUGGUGACCUUCUAUUUUCUGUAUUAUAGUUCCUCUUUGAAAGGGAUUCCAAGGGCUUCAUAAAUAACUUACUCUUUGGUUUUGAUGAAAUGCAUCAAGCUUAUCUGUAUUAGUUUUUCUGGAAAGUCUAUGGGAGUAACUCUUUCUUUAAAAAGGACCAUGUGUACUUAAGCAAGUGCGAAUUAUGAAGAACGUGUUUUAUUGACAGUGAUUUGAAUUAUAGAUUCAAGUGAACUAAAAUAUGUGUUUUGGUACUAGGAAAAAAAUUAUAAUUUAUGAUUUUGCUUCUCAUUCUGUGCAAAUAUUUGUGUUCAUUCUUAAAUUUGUAUUUGUGAGUUUGCAUUCUUUUUCUUACAGGGAGUCUCCAAAAUUGCAUGAGGGGCAGGCCUCUCAGAACCUGGGCGGGGCUUCAAACAGCCUAUUUCCAGAUCAGGUCUUGUUCCUCUGCAGAGCUGUUCUUGGAGCCUGACGAUCGUGCGGCUGAGCACAGAAUGCAGGAUUGUCAGAAGGAAGAAGCAAGAAGGGAAACAAGUGUCCUAAGGAUGGAUCUGCUGUAAUCCAGACCCUUGGUUUUGUCCCAACCAGUGAUGUCAAAACACUUCCCCACAGGACUGGAGACACGCCUUGAUUUUGAAGCAAAUUGAAAGUUUUUCAUCUCUUAAAAUAGCUUCCUCAUUUUUCUUUCUCUUCCCUAGUCAUAACACAGUCAACUUGAAUUAUAUAGACAUAUAUGGAAACAAAGUCCAAGUGAUUUAUAGUAUGUACCAUUAAGGGACGUGAAUAAAGAACUUUGGACACCUCUCCUGCCAGUUUA